UACGUAGGUGACAAGCGUUGUCCGGAUUUACUGGGCGUAAAGAGCGCGCAGGCGGUCGUUCAAGUCGAGUGUGAAAGCCCCCGGCUCAACUGGGGAGGGUCACUCGAUACUGAUCGACUCGAAGGCAGGAGAGGGAAGUGGAAUUCCCGGUGUAGUGGUGAAAUGCGUAGAUAUCAGGAGGAACACCGAUGGCGAGGCAGUGAUCUGGGCCGGUACUGACGGCUGAGGAGCGAAAGCGUGGGUAGCAAACAGG
rnacentral:rRNA from 1 species